UACGUAGGGUGCAAGCGUUGUCCGGAAUUAUUGGGCGUAAAGGGCUCGUAGGCGGUCCAUCGCGUCGGGAGUGAAAAGCUGGGGCUUAACCCCAGUCCUGCUUCCGAUACGGGUGGACUAGAGGUAGGUAGGGGAGAACGGAAUUCCUGGUGUAGCGGUGAAAUGCGCAGAUAUCAGGAGGAACACCGGUGGCGAAGGCGGUUCUCUGGGCCUUACCUGACGCUGAGGAGCGAAAGCAUGGGAAGCAAACAGG
rnacentral:rRNA from 1 species